rnacentral:rRNA from 1 species
AGUGAACGCUGGCGGUAGGCCUAACACAUGCAAGUCGAACGGCAGCACAGUAAGAGCUUGCUCUUACGGGUGGCGAGUGGCGGACGGGUGAGGAAUACAUCGGAAUCUACUUUUUCGUGGGGGAUAACGUAGGGAAACUUACGCUAAUACCGCAUACGACCUACGGGUGAAAGCAGGGGAUCUACGGACCUUGCGCGAUUGAAUGAGCCUAUGUCGGAUUAGCUAGUUGGCGGGGUAAAGGCCCACCAAGGCGACGAUCCGUAGCUGGUCUGAGAGGAUGAUCAGCCACACUGGAACUGAGACACGGUCCAGACUCCUACGGGAGGCAGCAGUGGGGAAUAUUGGACAAUGGGCGCAAGCCUGAUCCAGCCAUACCGCGUGGGUGAAGAAGGCCUUCGGGUUGUAAAGCCCUUUUGUUGGGAAAGAAAAGCAGCAGGUUAAUACCCCGCUGUUCUGACGGUACCCAAAGAAUAAGCACCGGCUAACUUCGUG